CGGUUGAUCCUGCCGGAGGCCAUUGCUAUCGGAGUCCGAUUUAGCCGUGCUAGUUGCACGGGUUUAGACCCGUGGCGAAAAGCUCAGUAACACGUGGCCAAGCUACCCUGUGGACCGGAAUACCCUCGGGAAACUGAGGAUAAUUCCGGAUAACGCUCCCCUAUUGGAAUAUGGGGAGCCGGGAACGUUCAGGCGCUAAUCAGAUUAUGUCUGAUUGCGCAACGAGACGCUUCGCGUCUCGUCCGCGCCACAGGAUGCGGCUGCGGCCGAUUAGGUAGGCGGUGGGGUAACGGCCCACCGUGCCUAUAAUCGGUACGGGUUGUGAGAGCAAGAGCCCGGAGACGGAAUCUGAGACAAGAUUCCGGGCCCUACGGGGCGCAGCAGGCGCGAAACCUUUACACUGCACGACAGUGCGAUAGGGGGACUCCGAGUGCGAGGGCAUAGAGCCCUCGCUUUUCUGUACCGUAGGGUGGUACAGGAAGAAGGGCUGGGCAAGACCGGUGCCAGCCGCCGCGGUAAUAUCGGCAGCCCAAGUGAUGGCCGAUAUUAUUGGGCCUAAAGCGUCCGUAGCUGGCCGGACAAGUCCGUUGGGAAAUCCGCACGCUUAACGUGCGGGCGUCCAGCGGAAACUGUCCGGCUUGGGACCGGAAGACCCGAGGGGUACGUCCGGGGUAGGAGUGAAAUCCUGUAAUCUCGGACGGACCACCUGUGGCGAAAGCGCCUCGGGAAGACGGAUCCGGCAGUGAGGGACGAAAGCCAGGGUCUCGAACCGGAUUAGAUACCCGGGUAGUCCUGGCCGUAAACGAUGUCCGCUAGGUGUGACGCAGGCUACGAGCCUGCGUUGUGCCGUAGGGAAGCCGUGAAGCGGACCGCCUGGGAAGUACGUCUGCAAGGAUGAAACUUAAAGGAAUUGGCGGGGGAGCAC
rnacentral:rRNA from 1 species